GGAAAAAAGUGUGUCACCAAAAGAGUUGUGGUGGGAAAAAAGUGUGUCACACUUUUUCCCCACCACAACUCUUUUGGUAUGUACUUUACAAGCAAC